rnacentral:rRNA from 1 species
CAGUAGCCGCGGUAAUACGGAGGGGGCUAGCGUUGUUCGGAAUUACUGGGCGUAAAGCGCACGUAGGCGGCUUGGUAAGUUAGAGGUGAAAGCCCAGGGCUCAACCCUGGAAUUGCCUUUAAGACUGCCGAGCUAGUAGGUGAGAGAGGUAAGUGGAAUUCCGAGUGUAGAGGUGAAAUUCGUAGAUAUUCGGAAGAACACCAGUGGCGAAGGCGGCUUACUGGCUCAUUCUAGACGCUGAGGUGCGAAAGCGUGGGGAGCAAACAGGAUUAGAUACCCCAGUAGUCCCUGUCUCUUAUAC